rnacentral:rRNA from 1 species
GACAGAGGGGGCAAGCGUUGCUCGGAAUCACUGGGCGUAAAGGGCGCGUAGGCGGGAUGGCAAGUCGGUCGUGAAAUCCUUCGGCUCAACCGAAGAACGUCGGCCGAUACUGCCGUUCUUGAGGGAUGCAGAGGAGAUUGGAAUUCCCGGUGUAGCGGUGAAAUGUGUAGAGAUCGGGAGGAACACCGGUGGCGAAGGCGGGUCUCUGGGCAUCUCCUGACGCUGAGGCACGAAAGCGUGGGGAGCAAACAGG